AAGCAUGUUCGAGGCAUGCUUGACAAUAAUUAAAUGAUGAAGGCAACAGAUCUAACAACUAUUUUCUGGCAGUACUUAGAAGUUAUUUAGUUCUUCUGCAGUAAAUACAGUCUGUUUUCAUGAUUGUUUAUGUUAUAGUUCUCCGACUAUGGUUCAUUUAAGCAUUUCUCGAGUUCUCUCCAGUCGAGAUGGACAUAGUGAAU